rnacentral:rRNA from 1 species
UACGUAGGUGGCAAGCGUUGUCCGGAUUUACUGGGCGUAAAGAGCGCGCAGGCGGUCGUGCAAGUCCCGUGUGAAAGCCCCCGGCUCAACUGGGGAACUGCACGGGAAACUGACGGACUUGAGUUCGGGAGAGGGAAGCGGAAUUCCGGGUGUAGCGGUGAAAUGCGUAGAUAUCCGGAGGAACACCGGUGGCGAAGGCGGCUUCCUGGACCGACACUGACGCUGAGGCGCGAAAGCUAGGGGAGCAAACGGG